rnacentral:lncRNA from 1 species
CCCCACACACCCUCGCAGUUGUUCAGCCCAGUUAGGAGAGCAGGUCAGUGGUAAAGGUGGAUCAUCCUUUCUUUUUACUUUUGUGAAGCAACAAUCAAACUGAGCACAUUUAUUAUACAAUGUUACGUGUUCACCUACCAGCUAGUCCCAAUCUCUACAUCAAAACAUUAUUUUCAAAAAGUUAAGAACCCAACAAUGCAAAUAUAAGACAAAUACAUGAUGAAGAUCUCUGAGCCCGUUAAUGACCAAUCCAGUAAACGAGUAUUUGGAGCCACACAGUCUCUGUGAAAUUCAGCUGAACCCCCAGGUUGCCUUUGCUGAGGCUGAAGUUAGUGUGACGAUGAGGGUGACUGUUUUCUGGAAAUUUCUUGUGGAAUGAAGGAGGCUGGAUAUCCCGGUUUGUGUCCAGAGAGGACCAGCAGUGCCUCCAGGUCAGUAGGGUUUUUUCUGGGCCUCAGGAUCGGGGCUCGGAGUUAACUGUAGCCAUGGCUGAGGGCAAGACACAUGUCUGAUUUUGAGGUCUGAGGGUCUUGUUCUUGUUUGAGCAGGAAGGAAACUGAGGCACAGAGUGAGGCCAGAGCACAUGGACAGCAGUAGCAGGCUGCGCGAAUGCCGCAAGCUCGACAGGGCGACAGGUCUGAUGUCAGGAGUGAAGAGACUUCAGACCUGUGGUGACAGAGGCCUUAAAACCUCACAGGGAGACAUCCUUGGAGCUCCAUGGCCAGGAAGUGCGGGAGGAAACAGGACUUUCAAAGCAGAAAAAGCCCACCAUGUUCCUGCCCAAGCGAGGCCACGCCAGCCGAGGGUACCCUGUGCAGAGGGCCAGUGGGGCCCCAUACAGCCAGCACCUGCCACAAAAGACGAGUUGGACCACGCAAGUCUUAGUUUGAAUGAUACAUUCACUCAGCCAGUAUUUAUCAAGCAUCCCCUACAUGGCGAAGGCUUGGGACCCGAGAGGGAGGCUGGAAUCGAGUGGCAACAGCUCGCCGCACACUGUGUGGUAAGAACCUUCAGGAAGAGGCCCAGAGGCCUGGAAAGCACGUGACAGCAGAGUUGGGUCUGGGCUGGGGGACGGUGUCCGGGAAGUCAUGUUGGAUUGGAAAGCCGAAAGAGAAGUUGGUGUUAAACUAUGUGAAAUAGAGAAUGAGGCAUUCCAGGAGGAGGAAGCAGCUUGGGUGGCAUGUUUGAGAAGUCAGAACAGCAGAUAAAUGGAUGGACCUAGAGUCUGUCAUACAGAGUGAAGGAAGUCAAAGAGGGAAACAAGCAUAGCAUAUUAACGCAUAUAUAUGGAAUCCAGAAAAAUGGUAUAGACGAACCUAUUUGCAGGGCAGGACAGAGACCCAGACGUAGAGAGCAGACAUGUGGGCACGGGAUGGGGAGGGCAGUGGACCAAGUUGGGAGAGGAGCGCUGACAUAUAUGCGCCCCCACGUGUGAAACUGAUCGCGAGGGGGCGCUGCUGUGUAACAGCACAGCUCCGUGCUCUGUGAUGAGCGGAGGUGGGGCGGGCUGAGAGAGGGAGGAGACAGAUGUGAACAUAAAGCGGAUUCACGUUGUUGUACCGCAGAAACUGACAGCAUCAUAAAGCAGUUAUACAUCAAUAAAAAAAUUUUAAACAGAAUUCAAAAUAUAAACGAAGUCAACAGGGUGUAGACAGAGGGGGAGAUGAAAGGCCGACUCUGCUGGCAUUCUGCUUCUAACCCCUGGCUGCUCUCUGCUCCCUACGCACUCCAGAGGCAGCACGGAGGUCCGUCGGCUGGCACGGUGCGGUGGGGCAGCUGGUGUUGUGAAUCAGGCCGUCGCCAAUCAGAGAACGGCUACUUCACAACACCAGGGUCACACCCCACCCCAGGCAGCGCUCCCAGCUCCAGCCCCCAUGCAGCCUCCACCUCGGCCGAUGGCCAUCGCUGGGGCACCGCCAAGCCCCCCAGAACCGCAGCAGGCGGCUUUCCGGUUGACACCUCACGCUGUGCAGACACCACCGCAAACACAGGAGCCCUGAGGCGGUUUCUCCCCAGGCGCAGACAGCUCCACUUGGAAGUGAAAGGCACUCCCACCAGCAUUGGCUUCCUGCAGAGAAAAUGGAGCCACCAGCUUCCCACGUGUCCAAGUAGGCACCAUUCAGGGUGUGGUCCACGGUGGUGGCAUCAGCAUGCUGGGAAGGUGGCCCCCACACGCCUGCUGCAUCACAGUCCUGGGGCCUGGAGCCCAGCCUCAGCUCAGGGACUGGUGUUAACACGACCAGCUCCUGUUGGUCGCCCCACAUCCUCUCCCGCUUCCAUUCCAACCUCAUGUCUUCUUGUUCCAGCCAGAAUGGUCUUUUCCAAACACGUGCCUGUAUCGUGGGAACCCCUCCACUCCCUGCCUUAA